UACGAGGGGUGCAAGCGUUGCUCGGAAUUAUUGGGCGUAAAGGGUAGGUAGGUGGUCUCAUUUGUCGGGGGUGAAAGCCUUGUGCUUAACACAAGAAGUGCCCCCGAAACGGUGAGACUCGAGUCUUGGAGAGGGUUGCGGAAUUCCCGGUGUAGCGGUGAAAUGCGUAGAGAUCGGGAGGAACACCUGUGGCGAAGGCGGCCGACUGGGCCGACCCUGACGCUGAGGCGCGAAGGCGUGGGGAGCGAACGGG
rnacentral:rRNA from 1 species